rnacentral:rRNA from 1 species
CAGGCCUAACACAUGCAAGUCGGACGGUAGCACAGAGGAGCUUGCUCCUCGGGUGACGAGUGGCGGACGGGUGAGUAAUGUCUGGGAAACUGCCCGAUGGAGGGGGAUAACUACUGGAGACGGUAGCUAAUACCGCAUACGUCCUACGGGAGAAAGUGGGGGAUCUUCGGACCUCACGCUAUCAGAUGAGCCUAGGUCGGAUUAGCUAGUUGGUGAGGUAAAGGCUCACCAAGGCGACGAUCCGUAACUGGUCUGAGAGGAUGAUCAGUCACACUGGAACUGAGACACGGUCCAGACUCCUACGGGAGGCAGCAGUGGGGAAUAUUGGACAAUGGGCGAAAGCCUGAUCCAGCCAUGCCGCGUGUGUGAAGAAGGUCUUCGGAUUGUAAAGCACUUUAAGUUGGGAGGAAGGGCAGUAAGUUAAUACCUUGCUGUUUUGACGUUACCAACAGAAUAAGCACCGGCUAACUUCGUGCCAGCAGCCGCGGUAAU